AAAUAACCAUAACAAGUCACAAAAAUAUAUAUGAAUAUCACUAAUAAUCGUGACAUAUAAAAAGAAUCAUUGAUCACUUGGUUAUCCAAGUUGAAAGUAUUUACCAUUGUCAUGAUGACUUUCAGAUGGGGAUCUAUGAAUUCCUAGAGGAGAAUUAUUAGGAUCCAUAGAAAAGUUAUCAAGAACCUGCAACAAAUUUAGAAUAAUAUUGUCACUAAAAUGAAAUUUAUCAUUACUCAUUUCCCAUGUCAUAGAUUUUAUAGUGUGAAUUCAACCCAUCUUUUGAAUUCCUUCUAAAAAAUGGAUAAAAAACAGCAGAAAGAAACAAGGAGUAUACAUGUAACAGAUUCUUAAAGAGACUAUUUCUGUAACAUGGACAAUUUCUGUAACAAAUUCUUUAAGGAACCAUUUUAGUCAUUUUUUCCAGCAACAUGGACCAUUUUUGUAGUAGUACCUCAAACUAGUCUUUCUAGGACAAUUUUUGUGGCUUCUUGAAUGCAUUCAGAAAAAGAUGCUAUAACCCUUAAAAUAAACCUAUAUAGAUCAAAUGAAAAUAAGAUGCUUUAUAAAGGAUAUUAAUCGGUAAAAACACACUAAAAAAAUUAGUAGCGAUUUGUUAAUGAGAAGUCUAGUCUUUCGGUGGUCAAGCCACAGUCAAAAGACUCAGAUGCAUUAGAACCUAGUGCUAUAUCAGCAACAUCAAAUAGAACUGAAGUAUCAUUAACUACUAACUAGAAAAGAGUUUCUCUACCCUAAAAUAAAGGUCAAAAUCAUUAAGAACUCACAUUAUAUAAUAAAGUACAGAAAGUAAAAACAAUAACUAAGAAAGAUGUAAGAUUGUAUGUCUCUUGAAUUGAAAUUGAUAUUGAUGAAAUUCAUAUAGUUGUAAAAUUACAUUGUAAUCAAUUUAUUAAUUGCAUAGAAAAUUUAUAUUUAACUUCAUGAUAAGUCCUUGGUGCAAUCCUGACAUGUAUAUGCUUUCAUAUGGAUUAAAAAGAUAAAUAUAUCAACAUACAACCACAAACACAAUAAUAUUAACCAAUAAGAAUAACUCUUCUACGGUGAAUUUAUGUCGUAUGUAUGAGCAAAUAUGACAAUUGAUAAAUAUUCUUGCCUUUGUGAUUAUUAUUAAUUAAUUUAAUAACAAACAUGGAAAGUUUUGACCAAAAAGGUCUAACUUUAUAUUAGGCCUACAUUCAUUAGCAUUAGUUAAACAUAAAAACAAAUGGCCACGCACUAAAAUAUGUAGCAUUUAAGAAUUAUUGCAGGAACUUUAUGAUAAUUAUAUGUAGCUCAUGCAAUACUAACAAAAGUAAAUUGCUCCAAAAAUACAAGAACAAAUUCAAACAAAUCAAUUACGAAAAUCAUUAAUCAAACAAAUAAAAUACAAAAACAUAAAUAAAAAUGCAGUAAAAUAUAUCUGAGAAAAAUAUAAGAAAUUAAGAAAAGAAACAUAUAAACCCGAUAAAAUCAAACAAAUCAAAUCUAAAUAAUAAUAUUGAACUUAAAGAUAAUUUGAGAAAUUUACCUGAUUGUAUACAUGUAGAUGCUUGUGAAUUAAGAAUUAGUGGUCAUAAUCCUGCUACGAUUCUUUGAGUUCCAGCAUAAAAAGCAAUCCACUCAACCUACAAAUGAAACUGCAGAGUACUAAUUCACAUAAAAAAAAGCACAACAAUAUGCACUCCCUUCAUAUCUUGCAAUAACAAUGCCAGAAAAAAGAAGAAACACAUGAAUCUCUGAAGAAAAACUAAAACUCCACUAAUCCUCAUUAAUUACGACAUAUAUCUUCUGCCAACACAAAGGUUGUAAAUAAAAUCAAAAGCUCUGAAGAUAGUAAACCCUUAGAACUUUCAAAAAUCAGACACCAAACCAUCUAAUUAACCUAAUUCUUGACUUCGUAAAAAACACAUUAACAAUUACAUCUAAUGACUAAAUCUAAUGAUACCUUCGAAUAUGCAGCUGUAGAAGAACUGAGAGCAUAUGAACGAAGCUAAACCUAUAUGAGAUAGCAAACAGAAGAGUCAUUCCAAGUUGGUCACCGACGUUGGAGGUGACAGCCACGACGAGGUCCCAACGGUGAAGGUUGCUAAUGAGAGGGCGAUGGUGAUCGAGGCGCUGACCAGAGGUGAGCGACGAGGGGAAAAGUUAGAGAGAAU
rnacentral:lncRNA from 1 species